UACAGGUCUGUUUUGGAGGCUUUGAUAUACUUAACUUGCAGUGGUUUCAGUGUUUCUCAAUUUAAAUCUAGAACAUCUGACCUCAACUUUCAUGUAUUUACUUGAAAAACAUGAAGACUCCUGCCAAAUGGUAAUUUUUUCCACAGACUAAACUUUGUGAAUAUUGAAUUAUGGACAGGCAUGCGGUCAAAGCCCCGAGCUCCUCCCACUGCUUGGGAACUUACGGUUUCAUACCUUGGUGUGUAAUUAGAAUUGACUUGUUGCACUUGCAAAGGUUUUGGCUGGAGAAAACACGGAAUUCUAUCUCCUCCACCAAAUGAAGCUUUUCACGAUUCAUCGCCUAUGCACACUUAACCAACUAAUGGUACUUUAACGAUUCUAACGGAAUUCUUUUUUAGGUUACACUCACUUUAGUUGUAGAAGAUAGAAGGAAAUAUUAAAUCCAUCAUUCUUGCACUAGAACAUUGCAGUCCAACCACUUCAGAUACCAAGGAUCCUACUCAUAGGGUCUGAUUUGGUGCUUGAGCAUACAGAGAGAAUGGA